CCUGGCCGGGCACCUGGCGCCCGCGGAUCACCGCCCCGCUUUCCUCCCGCAGCCCCGCAGCCUCCGCGGCCCGGGCGCGCCCUUCAGGGACCGCAGCGCGUCACCUCGCCUCCGGAGAAGAAUUAAACUCAAGACCUUUCCGGGAAUGGGACAACAAACACUUCAGCCAACUGAGCCGCACCAGCCAGGGCUUCAGAUCCACUUUUAUGACUUGACAUUGUCAUUCUGAACUUUCCAAGACUGGCCUACUUCACUUAGAAUGAUGCUCUCCACAUCCAUCCAUGCAGUUGCAAAUGGAAGAAGAAGUUAAAAUUUAAAAAAUAAUCAACAACCAAAUAAUUGCUUUACCCUUAAAACUCAACUCAACAUUCCAAGCUCUUGGACCAGUCUUCUUUCCAAGCUUCAGGUCAUCGGGCAUCAUAGUCACGGGGGACUCUGGAGAAAUGAAUGCUUCUAUCUCAAUGGACUCAGUAGAGGAGUUGCUGAACUCCAAGCUGAGGACAGGAAGGAGAUUGUUUGCAACCUUUGGUGAGGAGGAGUCUUCCUGAACCACUGUAAUGCUCACAGACUUGACAAGGGGCAGAGCUGGAGAUAAAGAUGGAAGAUGAACAGGCACUCAAUCAACAGGAGGCAGAUGACGCCGAACACCAGCACAAACACCCUGAUUAUCAAGAGCACUGCAAUCUUGGCCUUUCGGUGAAAAUAUGGCAGGAACAACAGCCACGUGUUCUGCUUGCCAACAUUUCCAUUGGAGCACCCACAGGUUAGCGUGCUGGAUUAAAAUGUACAAGAGGAUGAUAACCAAGCACAAUAACCCAGGCAGAGGCCACAGAGCUGAAGAACCACCAGUAAUUCCUGCUCCUGAUGCAGUUUUGAGCCAUUGGCAAUGAUGGACAAAGCCAGCGGUGCAUUUGCAGAUGCUCCGGUGUUUGGCUUUUGUGCUCACAGUGACCCCUCACAGAGAGCAAUACUGAUUCUCCAUGACAUGAUGGUGUUUAGAUCGGUCCAACAUAAGCAGCCGUUGACUGUAGGUGAUCUUGUGUAGAAUGCUCACUUCAGGCAUAUCAAUGGAGGCAGACACAAAGUGCAUGAUGAUAUGAAAAAAGAAUAUUCCACCAGUCCGCAGGCAGUGUACUUCCUCUCAUGCAGUGCACUUCCUCUCAUAGGACUAAAAAUUCAAAACAUGGCUAAGGCCAAGGUCUGGAACAUGGCCCAGGAUAUCGCCUGGUGUUUGGACAGGCGAGGCAGCCGUGGGUUCUGGGAGGACCUGUCUCUGGCUCCUGCCACAGCAGUCCAUCUUAAUAAUAUCAUCCGUUCCUCCGGCAACAGGUUUUGAUUUGAUCAUUUCUGUUUGUUUCUCCCUUCUGUACAUCCUGACUUACUUUCUGUAUUAGCAUCAUUUGCUUCUUGGCAAUCUUGAUAAGAUCUUCCUUGACCAAUGUUCCAGCCUUCACUCUUCAGGGAGCCUGCUAGUCAAGUAUUCUCUUUGCCUUAGAUUUCCCACUUCCAGAAGUGGCUGGAGAAGCCACCCCAUCUUGAACAAGAUCCUCCAUGGCCACAGGCCACCAUGGCCACAUGGUCCACAGCUGGCAGCCUGGGGGCCACUGCAACCACCUGGCCCCUAGUCUGGUCACAGCCAUCUCUGCUCUUCUGACUGCAGCGCCUCUAACUUUGUAAUCCUAUUUCUUUUUUCUUUUUUUUUUUUUUUUAAAUAUAUUUUAUUGAUUUUUUAC